rnacentral:lncRNA from 1 species
AUCAGAUGUACAUGUCGUAACAGCCCUAAUAAUUUUACUUUAUUUAAACAGACAGCUGUAUUGAACGAGAGAUAUGGAAGCAGAAACAUGGAGUUCUGUCAAUUUCUCUUUGUGCAAGCUGUCAAACAGUGCUCAGUCUCUAGCAAUGACAUAUGUUAACUGUGGUCCAAAUGCAGGCAACAUGGAUACAAAAAUGCCUGAGAUGUGAAGUUGAAACUCAGACACCGGUCUCUAGUGACACUGAUCACAUCCCUUUGGAGCUUAGUUCAUCCUUUGGCUAUUCUGUGAAGCUUUUCUUUUCCAUCUAGCCUGAAUUUUCAUGUACCACUAUGUGUAAGAGAACAAAACAAUAACAGAGAAACUGAGGACUUUUCUCCAUGCCACACAGCAAGUCAGUGCCAUGGUUGUGCAACA